rnacentral:rRNA from 1 species
ACUCAAAUGAAUUGACGGGGGCCCGCACAAGCAGCGGAGCAUGUUGUUUAAUUCGAAGCAACGCGAAGAACCUUACCAGGUCUUGACAUCCACUGAACCUGUGGGAAACCACGGGGUGCCGCAAGGAGCAGUGAGACAGGUGGUGCAUGGUUGUCGUCAGCUCGUGUCGUGAGAUGUUGGGUUAAGUCCCGCAACGAGCGCAACCCUUAUUGUCAGUUGCCAGCACGUAAAGGUGGGAACUCUGACGAGACAGCCGGGGUAACUCGGAGGAAGGUGGGGACGACGUCAAAUCAUCAUGCUCUUUAUGACCUGGGCUACAAACGUGCUACAAUGGCCGAAACAGAGGGAUGCAAGGGCGCAAGCCGGAGCGAAACCUAAAAUUCGGUCCCAGUUCAGAUUGAGGGCUGCAACCCGCCCUCAUGAAGAUGGAGUUGCUAGUAAUCGCGAAUCAGCACGUCGCGGUGAAUACGUUCCCGGGCCUUGUACACACCGCCCGU